CAAACUAUGGUCCAAGUAUGAAGAGAUCUCCCUAGCUAAGAGACAGCUGCAGUGAAGAACAUUCUAGUGUGGGAACUGAGGCUGAGGUGAAAGAGGCUGCCCAGGAGAAGGAAGGCCCCUGGUGGCCAUGGAGGACACGGAGAAUCCAACGAAUGAAUCCAGUGGCCUCGUAUUCGCCAACGCUCCAUUGAAACCACAGCUACGCUCCAGGCUGGACACUCCCUGUGGAGCAAGGCUGGAAGCUGAACUGUGCUCAGAUGAUAUCCCGGCAGUGAAAACACCAGAGUGCUAAAUGAAAAAUCUAUGCUCUCCCCACCAACUUCUUCAACUAGUGGGCCGCACAGGCUCCAGCAAGGAUUAAUUUGAACACUGUCAUUUCUUGGCAUCCCAAGCUGAAUUUUCCAGGACACAAAGGCAUGAGGUAUUCCAUCAUCUUGAUAAUUUUUAUAGCCAGUGGGGAGGUAGAAGGGAACAAAUAAUUGGAUGCACCAAGCUAUGGAACAAAUGAAACUAUGAAACGUUCACGAUCAAGUCCUGGAUCAAAGUGACUGGCUCGUAGAUAGGCAAGAAAUUUGGCCUCCUUCAAAAUAAGAAAUGAGGAUGGAGCCUCAAGCAGUGGGUCUAAAAGUGAGUCUUUCACAGGCUUGAGGAAGAAUACAGUGUUUCCCAUUAACCACCCAACACUCAAGAAGAAAUGUCACCUAAGAAACUGACUUUGGGUUACAAACUAGGGGCAAAUACUGGAAGGAAAUAAAUCAAAAUAUGCACACUGGUUGUGCUAUAAUGAUGGGAUUACUGGGUAUUUUUUGUUCUUUAUUUUCCUAACUUCCUGUACACCAAUAACUUAUAGCAUAUAUUUUUUUAGUUUCUUAAAAGACCUUCCCUUUUUUUUUAGCAUAUCAGCCACCAAAACACCCAGUUAAAAAGCUUAGCACCCAUUCUUGACUCCUUUAUUUUCGUCUUAAAUAUCUCAGUUCAUGCAUCCUCUCUUCUCUGUCUCUUCUUUCUGGGCCUUAGUGCAGAUGCUUGGUGUCAUUUCACUCCUCUUUCUGGUCAUUGACAUCCUCCCCUAAAUGGCUUCCCCACUGCUGGUCUUACUAAUCAUCCAGUCCAUCCUCCAACGGCAGCCAGAGUGACUUUCUAAAAUAGAAACCCCUUCAUGUCACAUUCCUGCUCAAUCUCUUCAAUAGCUCUUCGUUGCUUCCAGGAGACAAUUUAAAUUCCUUUCCAUAACAUGCAGGGCUCUUCAAAACCAAACCCGCCAAGCUCUUUAACUUCAUCUCUCCCUCCCAAACAGCUCUCCCCACUGCCACUACCCCAGGUCGCUCAUUCCACCUACAGGCCUUUAUACAAGCCAUUACCUUUGCCGGAAACGCCCCACCUCCCACCUGUGCAGCUUCCCAGGCCUCUGUGAAGCUCAAGCAUGCUACACUUCCCCACCCACGGAAUCGCUGAUGGCCACCCACCUUGUCCUGAUGCUGAUCCUGUCCACGUCACAGCACUGUACACAGUUUUGGGGCUGUGCACCCCACAUUUGCCUCUCUCACUAGACUGUGGGCUCUGGAAAGCAGGGACCCUGUUUGACUCAUUUCUGGAUCCUCAGCACCUGGCUCCUAUAGUGCCCAGAACAGGGGAGAUGUUUGGUAAAUAUUUGUUAAUUUCAUAAAAGGAGGAGUCAAUCAAGGAAUUAAAAUGUGGCUUUCUGCCAUACUUAUAUUAUUUAGAACUGUAUCAUCUACUUUACCACAAUUAAAAAUUAAAAUUUUUUUAAAAACCUAGAUCAUCUAAAAUACUCAAGAAAAGCCAAAUCACAUCAAAUGCCUUUUGGUUCCUAGAUUCUAGGCUUUUUGUCUCUCCCACUUCUUACCCUCCCAGGCGCCCUCUCCCCUUCCAACAAGUGUUUGUAAGGAAAAUACAAAGAGGUACCUAGAGGAAUUUUGUCGAGUUUCAGUGUAGCUGUGCUCAGGACCACAGUGGCAAAAGAUUGUGGGUGUCAACACCGAAUUGCAGGAGGGUUCGUGUUUUGAAAAGCGGUCUCCUUAUCAAAGUGUCCCUCGCAAUUACAGAAACCCUGACUCAGUCUCCUCUUUGUGCAGUUACAGCUCAUUAACUACGACAGAGGGUAAGGUGAACUGAUAGAGAAACCUAAAGCCAAAGUGGUAGAAGUCCCUGCCCAGUGAAGAUUAGCUAGAAUGGAAGAUAAAACAUCCCUGAGAUUAUGAUGUGAGUCAGGAAAUAAGAGUUUGCUUACACACAGCUGAAGAGUCCAGAAUCUGGAUUCCGGCCCAUGCAGCCAUUAGCUAUGUGACCUUGAGCAAGUCACCCAAGCUUUGAGAGCCUCAGUUUUCUCAGUGUAAAAUGAGGAGGGAUUGGAGUAGGUGUCCCACGAGAGCCUGUGGUAUGGUUUCAGAGAACUAAAAUCUGCGCUCAGUAUAAAGGCAGGAAUCCGGGCCGUGGAGGGAGAGGGUCUGGGUUCCAUCCGGGCACUGCUGGCGAUGACUACAUGUCCUUGCAUGUCCUCGGGCAGAUUUGUUAAGUUCUUCAAGCUUCAGUUUUCCCAUCUGAAAAAUG
rnacentral:lncRNA from 1 species